rnacentral:rRNA from 1 species
UACGUAGGGUGCGAGCGUUUGUCCGGAAUUAUUGGGCGUAAAGAGCUCGUAGGCGGUCUGUCGCGUCGGUCGUGAAAAACUUGGGGCUUAACCCUGAGCUUGCGGUCGAUACGGGCAUGACUGGAGUUCGGUAGGGGAGACUGGAAUUCCUGGUGUAGCGGUUGAAAUGCGCAGAUAUCAGGAGGAACAGCCGUGGCGAAGGCGGGUCUCGUGGGCCGAUACUGACGCUGAGGAGCGAAAGCGUGGGGAGCGAACAGG